CCUACGGGUGGCAGCAGUGGGGAAUAUUGCACAAUGGGGGAAACCCUGAUGCAGCGACGCCGCGUGAGGGAGGAAGGAUUUCGGUAUGUAAAGCUCUAUCAGCAGGGAAGAAAAUGACGGUACCUGACUAAGACGCCCCGGCUAACUACGUGCCAGCAGCCGCGGUAAUACGUAGGGGGCAAGCGUUAUCCGGAUUUACUGGGUGUAAAGGGUGCGUAGACGGUUAAUCAAGUCAGAAGUGAAAACCCCGGGCUCAACCUUGGGACUGCUUUUGAAACUGAGUAGCUAGAGAGCAGGUGUGGUAGGCGGAAUUCCUAGUGUAGCGGUGAAAUGCGUAGAUAUUAGGAGGAACACCAGUGGCGAAGGCGGCUUACUGGACUGUAACUGACGUUGAGGCUCGAAAGCGUGGGGAGCAAACAGGAUUAGAUACCCCUGUAGUC
rnacentral:rRNA from 1 species